CCUACGGGGGGCUGCAGUGAGGAAUAUUGGGCAAUGGACGCAAGUCUGAACCAGCCAUGCCGCGUGAAGGAAGACGGCUCUAUGAGUUGUAAACUGCUUUUGUACGAGGGUAAACGCAGACACGCGUAUCUGUCUGAAAGUAUCGUACGAAUAAGGAUCGGCUAACUCCGUGCCAGCAGCCGCGGUAAUACGGAGGAUUCAAGCGUUAUCCGGAUUUAUUGGGUUUAAAGGGUGCGUAGGCGGUCGGAUAAGUUAGAGGUGAAAUCCCGGGGCUCAACUUUGGGAUUGCCUUUGAUACUGUUUGGCUAGAGUGUAGUUGCGGUAGGCGGAAUGUGUGGUGUAGCGGUGAAAUGCUUAGAGAUCAUGCAGAACACCGAUUGCGAAGGCAGCUUACCAAGCUACUACUGACGUUGAGGCACGAAAGCGUGGGGAGCAAACAGGAUUAGAUACCCGAGUAGUC
rnacentral:rRNA from 1 species